CAGUCGCCGCGGUAAAACGUAGGUGGCAAGCGUUGUCCGGGAUUAUUGGGCGUAAAGCGCGCGCAGGCGGAUCAGUCAGUCUGUCUUAAAAGUUCGGGGCUUAACCCCGUGAUGGGAUGGAAACUGCUGAUCUAGAGUAUCGGAGAGGAAAGUGGAAUUCCUAGUGUAGCAGUGAAAUGCGUAGAUAUUAGGAAGAACACCAGUGGCGAAGGCGACUUUCUGGACGAAAACUGACGCUGAGGCGCGAAAGCCAGGGGAGCGAACGGGAUUAGAUACCCCAGUAGUCCCUGUCUCUUAUACA
rnacentral:rRNA from 1 species